rnacentral:rRNA from 1 species
AGUGAACGCUGGCGGUAGGCCUAACACAUGCAAGUCGAACGGCAGCACAGUAAGAGCUUGCUCUUACGGGUGGCGAGUGGCGGACGGGUGAGGAAUACAUCGGAAUCUACUUUUUCGUGGGGGAUAACGUAGGGAAACUUAUGCUAAUACCGCAUACGACCUACGGGUGAAAGCAGGGGAUCUUCGGACCUUGCGCGAUUGAAUGAGCCGAUGUCGGAUUAGCUAGUUGGCGGGGUAAAGGCCCACCAAGGCGACGAUCCGUAGCUGGUCUGAGAGGAUGAUCAGCCACACUGGAACUGAGACACGGUCCAGACUCCUACGGGAGGCAGCAGUGGGGAAUAUUGGACAAUGGGCGCAAGCCUGAUCCAGCCAUACCGCGUGGGUGAAGAAGGCCCUCGGGUUGUAAAGCCCUUUUGUUGGGAAAGAAAAGCAGCAGGUUAAUACCCCGCUGUUCUGACGGUACCCAAAGAAUAAGCACCGGCUAACUUCGUG